GGCGACGCGGCGAUCUCGCCGGCGAAGGCGACGGCGACGCGACGCCUUCCCCUCCACCGCCGGCUCUCUCUUCCGCCGGCGACGUUCUCCCCGGAGGGAGACGACUUGAUAUCGUAAUGUUGUUUCGAUGUCAAUCUCAUAUGAUGAGAGAUGCUAGAUGAAGAUUGAAGUUGCUUUGUUCAAUAUUCUGUAUUGACUUUUAUAAUAUUUGGGCAUGAACUCAAUCUUAAGUAUGUUGAAAGGACCUUUGCUGUUAUUUAUGAUCAAAUUAUGUCUGCUAGAUGUCUAGCAAGUUACUUAUAUCAAAUAGUUGAUCUAGGUGCAGACUGAAGUGCUGCUAGGAUAUAUCUAUUUGUAGAGGAGUUUUGAGAAGCGGUGAUCAAAUUAUGUUUGGCAGAAGCUAUUUGUAUUAUCUUUUGAUUUUCGUCAUGAUUAAAUGUGAUAAACAUUUUAAUGUUU